GCCCACCUGGACCCCCUUCCCCUUUUGUCACCCGCUUACGACACUCUUAUUACCUGAGCGAAAAAGUCAAAAUUUCUGUCAGUUCUAGUUCGCAAUAAUUUUUUUUAUUUUUUCAAAAUUUUCGUGCCAUGUACUUCUUGGUGAAAAACAUACAGUCAUGUACGCGAUUUAGGGGUCCAGAUAAACUAAAACUUUAUCCAAACGGGAUUCUCAACGUCGAUUAUUUAUGGAGGAACAUUUCGUACUUUAUCGUUCAUCCGGAACAGAUCAGACAGAAAUUAAAGGAGCGGGACGCGCAUAUGCUCUGCCAGUUUCUAGAUUCUGAAGAGUAUAAGAAUAAGGUCACUAAGUUUCUGGAAACUCAGGAUAAAAUUUUAUCCAAGGAUUUUACCGCUUCCUCCAUUACAGGUAACCACAACUCACCCUCCAUAAAAUACCAACACGUGCUCAGCUGCGCACAGCCCUCCCAUCGAAAACCUAAAGCUGCCGAAGAUACUGACGGGGCAGAAACCCAAGAUGACACUCACAGAAAACGAAUAAAAGUUAAAAGAGGAACCAUAGUAGAACAAAUGCUUAAAAAAAAAGGUACAACUAUUAACGAUGAUAACAUCAGUAUAAGAAGCGAGAAACCCAAAAAGGUUAGGCAAAUCAGAAGCACCAUAAUGCCAAUAUUCUUAAAGAGAAUUCGUGAAAAAAGACAUGACGAGGAGCCUUAUGUCUAUCAACAAACUGAAGAUCUUGUUAUAGAACCACAACAAGCGGAACCGAUAGAUUUUAACAAUCAAACUGCUAGAAGAUUAAAAUCGGCAGAAGAGGAUGCCUUGGAACCGAUGUAUGCUAAGAUAUUACAUAAGAGUAACUUGUAUAGAAAAUCCAGAUCUGCUGAGAGGCUUGCGUCAACCCAACCAAACGUUUUAAGGGAGCUUAAUGGACGUUAUCACGUUGUUAAACCCCGAACUUCAGAAGGAAAAAGUCGAAUAGAGUUUCCAUCUAAUACGUCAAGAACUCAACUAAAACCCAAAGUUUCCCAAAGUUUUAUGCAUUCGAAUACGCCCUCAAAAGUGAAGACUCAUUACUUGGACAGGAUGGAUAGUAAGCUGGAUCAGAAAAUUUCGAAUAAUGCUGUUUUGGGCAGUAGGUCCAGGCUCGAUCGGUCUCCUUACAGGUUAUGUAAGAUAGCAACCAAUCCGGAAGAGUACAAUAUGAAACUAGGUGGUACCUCCUCAGUAAUGCCCAUGCGCAUGAUGGCCAGCUCCACAUCGAAACCUUCAAAACCUCCAGUAGUGAAACUCCUCCCGAAGAAGAACAUGAAUCUGAAAAGUUUCAGCGACCUCCUCUGCGUGGAGCCCCUGAAGUUCAGCAGGUCCAAAACUGAUAAAAAGAGAACGAAGAAUAACCCGAGCAAGAUUAAAAUACACGAUGACGGUGAAGUUGAAAUAAGAGUCUUAAAAGGUGGUGAUGGGAUAAAAAAGAAGAAAAUUAAGGCCAUAAAUGUGACGAAACAUGACGAGAAGAUUCAGAUGUUGGUGGACAAUAUGCAGCAAAGUAGAUCUCUGAGGUCUAUGAGGUUGGACAAUACCAGUUAUGAGAACGAAUGCACCAUGGAGAGAAUGAAGAAAAUUAAAGAGGAAUUGAGCAAAAAUAAAAACAUGGAAGUGAGCUCGCUUUUUAGGAAAGUCAAAUUAGGUUCAUCAAAAAAUGCUGAUACAGAUAUCGUAGAGUCAUUAACACUUUCGGAGGGUAAACCCAAGCCAUUAAGUAAACUGGAAAAGACCAUUCUUAGGGGCAAAAGGGAGAGGGACGCCAAGGAAAGGUUGGAGGAGUUUGCAGAGCCGCUGGUACCGAAACAAAGUUUCACUUAUAAAAUCGUUUCGAGAAAGAAAGUACAGCAGGAGGAAAAGUUGAGGGAGAUAUUUAAGAUGAAUUUGGUGCUUCGAGGUGGUACUUCUAAGAUUAUAAGUAGUAAAAGCCCCUGCGAACCCUGAGGUACGCCUGAGGUAACUGGAUACGUGGAGGACUGGUGGCCAUGUACAGUGACAUACUGGGAUCGAUUAAAAAUGUACGACGCUAACCACCGCAGGAGAUCUCCAUGCAAAUGCGCUGCGUCGGUGUACACAGAGUCUACCUGCGUCUGACAAUCCAUUGAACAGAGGGAGUUCCAAAAAAGCAAAAGAAGCACACAUCACAGCCGAAAAAGAAGACGCCAUAAGCGUGGAUAACCUGAAUAAAAACCGCUACAUUAACUUGGAUGAAACUAAGGAAGUCGUAUCCAGGAAUAUUCCGAAAACUUUACACAGGC